GUAGACGUUAGCUCAGUAGUUAGAGCUUCCGUUUGUUAAUCUUGGGGUCCGCGGUUCAAGCCUGCGUCUACU
rnacentral:tRNA from 1 species